rnacentral:rRNA from 1 species
UGUGACUGCGUACCUUUUGUAUAAUGGGUCAGCGACUUAUAUUCUGUAGCAAGGUUAACCGAAUAGGGGAGCCGGAGGGAAACCGAGUCUUAAUUGGGCGUUAAGUUGCAGGGUAUAGACCCGAAACCCGGUGAUCUAGCCAUGGGCAGGUUGAAGGUUGGGUAACACUAACUGGAGGACCGAACCGACUAAUGUUGAAAAAUUAGCGGAUGACCUGUGGCUGGGGGUGAAAGGCCAAUCAAACCGGGAGAUAGCUGGUUCUCCCCGAAAGCUAUUUAGGUAGCGCCUCGUGAAUUCAUCUCCGGGGGUAGAGCACUGUUUCGGCUAGGGGGCCAUCCCGGCUUACCAACCCGAUGCAAACUGCGAAUACCGGAGAAUGUUAUCACGGGAGACACACGGCGGGUGCUAACGUCCGUCGUGAAGAGGGAAACAACCCAGACCGCCAGCUAAGGUCCCAAAGUCAUGGUUAAGUGGGAAACGAUGUGGGAAGGCCCAGACAGCCAGGAUGUUGGCUUAGAAGCAGCCAUCAUUUAAAGAAAGCGUAAUAGCUCACUGGUCGAGUCGGCCUGCGCGGAAGAUGUAACGGGGCUAAACCAUGCACCGAAGCUGCGGCAGCGAACGUAUCACUUAAAGCGAUUCAGCGGAUGACGAUUGACGGAGCGAAGCGACGUCAAAGCGUAUACAAAGUCGAGUCGGUUUAAGGAUACGUUCGUUGGGUAGGGGAGCGUUCUGUAAGCCUGUGAAGGUGUGUCGUGAGGC